ensembl:lncRNA
CACGGAAUGGAGAAUAAAUCAGUACUAAGGGAGAGCUGUUUCUCUCUUGCAGCACUCAGGAAAACCAUCACAUUUUAAGGGUUAAGAACUGGAACUUCUUCACUGCUUUGACACAGAAUCAGUCCUGCAAAGUUCUACUUGAAUUGCUGGCCAAAGGAGGAGAUGCAUUCACUCAACCAAUAUAUCACAUUAGAGUGGUUUGCCUCUCAGUGUUAGUGGCAAUUGCAGUAGGAGUGCUGCACUGACUGCCAUCUGGAACUGGUGCAUUUAACUACCAACUAACAGCCUCCUGUGGGGUUUUUGCAUGUUUGGUGUGCAAUAUCCAUGAAGAUAGCACAUCUGCAUAAGUGAAAUAUGAUUUGUGCUCCAUUCCUGCUGCCUGCUGUGCAGAAAAGAAAGGAACAACUGGC